UACAGAGGGGGCAAGCGUUAUUCGGAAUUAUUGGGCGUAAAGGGCGCGUAGGCGGUUUGUUGCGUCGGCUGUGAAAUCCCGAGGCUCAACCUCGGGUCUGCAGUCGAUACGAGCAAACUAGAGUGUUGCAGGGGAGACUGGAAUUCCUGGUGUAGCGGUGAAAUGCGCAGAUAUCAGGAGGAACACCGGUGGCGAAGGCGGGUCUCUGGGCAACAACUGACGCUGAGGAGCGAAAGCGUGGGGAGCGAACAGG
rnacentral:rRNA from 1 species